CAAUAGCGUAUAUUUAAGUUGUUGCAGUUAAAAAGCUCGUAGUCGGAUUUCGGUUAAGAGCGACCGGUCCGCCGUUUGGUGUGCACUGGUUGGUUUUAACUUCCUGUAGAGGACGUGCUCUGGGUUUAACGACCUGGACUCGGAGUCUACGUGGUUACUUUGAAAAAAUUAGAGUGUUCAAAGCGGGCUUACGCUUGAAUAUUUCAGCAUGGAAUAACACUAUAGGACUCCUGUCCUAUUUCGUUGGUCUCGGGACGGGAGUAAUGAUUAAGAGGAACAGUUGGGGGCAUUCGUAUUUCAUUGUCAGAGGUGAAAUUCUUGGAUUUAUGAAAGACGAACUUCUGCGAAAGCAUUUGCCAAGGAUGUUUNCAUUAA
rnacentral:rRNA from 1 species